UCAAAUUCAUUCCAUACAGCACUAGUCCUCUUACGAAAAGAGGUUUGAUCUUCACUCGGUUCAUUAGUUCUAGAGGAACUAGGAAUAUGGGGUUGGGGAUUAGUUUCUUCUCCCUCAGAAAUAGGAGCAAUGCCAAAAUGACUUUCCUCAAAAGAUGACAUAUCUAAAUUGAUGAAUGCAAAAAAUAAAAACUAACCACCAUGAAGAAUUGAGUAGAGGACCAGAGGUAGAGCCGAGAUUUGUGAGCUUCCUCUUGUGCUCUCA
rnacentral:lncRNA from 1 species